UGAAGCAAAUUCUUCAUCACAAAACAUAUACGGACAGUGAAAUUCAUUCAAGUCACCUCUUGGUAGAAGUUUUACAUUUCUUUUCAUUUAAACAACUGUGACCAUGUUACGCCAAUUUGCAUACCUAUUAUUCCUGGUUUUUCUCUUUGCCACGAACAGUGUAAAAGCUGAUGACUACAAUGAUAAAGUUAUAAUUAUAAUAUCAGUGGCUGCCGUCUUGCUUGGAUUAUCCGUCAUUUUACUCAUUCUCGCAGGUUGCGGGAUUUAUGCUUUGAGAUACAAGGAAAGAAAAUAAAAGCAUAAUUUGGAACGAAAGAAAGACAGUCGAAGACAAUCGUUAAUUAAUAAAUUUGCGUAGAAUAACAAGCAUUCUAUGGCGGAACUAAAUUUAUCCACUUUAAAAAACAUAAUCUUGUUAAACUUUCAUACGACAUUAUACUGUUAGGAACCGUUAGUUUAGUUUCAUACUGCAAUUGUCAGCAUGUAGUAUAUUUGUGUUCAAUAAUCACUAUUCAUCAGUUUCAUUGAUCUACGAAGUCAUCCGUGAUUUUCAACGGUGGAAAAUGAAGCAUCUGUUAUAUUUUUGGUAAGCAGUAAAAUGCCACACCAUAAAUAGGCGAACAGUGCAGGUAGUAAAUGGGGAGUUGGGCUAUCAGUUAGAGACACUGAGUCAUUCGCGCAGAUCCCCGGACAUUUGUACCGUUUACAGUAUGCUUGAUGUUGUCAGUUGUAUUGUUCCA